rnacentral:rRNA from 1 species
AGUCGAGCCAAUGGAUUAAGAUCUUGUUCUUAUGAAGUUGGCGGCGGACGGGUGUGUAACACGUGGGUAACCUGCCCAUAAAACUGGGAUAACUCCGGGAAACCGGGGCUAAUACCGGAUAAAUUUUGAACGGCAUGGUUCAAAAUUGAAAUGUGGCUUCAGCUGUCACUUAGGGAUGGACCCGCGUCGGAUUAACUAGUUGGUGAGAUAACGAUCCUCCCAGGCCCGAUGCGAAGACCCCCUGAGAGCGUUUCCGCUC